GUGCUCGCUUUGACAGCACAUAUACUAAAAUUGGAAUGAUACAGAGAAGAUUAACAUGGCCCCUGCGCAAGGGUGACACACAAAUUCAUGAAGCGUUCCAUAUGUAA
rnacentral:snRNA from 1 species